AGUGGAAUUGCUGGGUCACAUGGUAGUUCUGGUUUUAGUUUUUUGAGGAACCACCAUACUGUUUUCCACAGCAGUUGCACCAUUUUGCAUUCCCACCAGCAAU
rnacentral:pre_miRNA from 1 species